GGUACCAAAAUAAUCAUGAAUAAAUUAUCUAUCAACUGUAGUACGGGUUUUAUCUAAUUAUGUGAAACAAAAUAAAACGAGCAAAAAGUUUCACAAGCAUUUUUUGUAAUAUGUCGUUUUUCUGCCGGUCUUGGGACGUUUUGACUGUCAUUUUAUACUUUCGAUUUCGGAUAUUUUAAGAAUUGUUUUGAUUGUCAAUGACUUUACAAGGAUACAUUGACGUCUCCUGCAUCGUGAGAAAUAAAGCCAUAGAAUACAUUCAUACCACUCAAAUUCAGCCAGUCAGAAUGAUGGGAAGGAUUGCAGAACUGAGUUUCACUCUCACCUGAGUGAUGCAGAUUCAGUAACCUAAUUGCUCAUGAUGGUUUCUGAGAAAAAAACAGCUUGGUGUAAUUUGACAGUAUUUUUCAGUAUUUGACAGUGGUUCUAUCAUGCAACAGUCAUACCAUGAAGUGUCUCACAGAUUCUCUCUCAAUUCCUGCAAUAUCCAAGAUUACAGUGUAGUGCAAAGAGGAUUAAUUUUCUUGCAAUAAGAAGUAUCUGCACUUCCAAAUACCCCUGUACAGCAUGAACAGUUCCUUCAUUUUUUGAGUGAUUAUAGAGUGAAAAUGUUUCCAUAUAAAAUGUUUUCUUUUUAUGUGUAAAACUUGUCAUGAAUGGUUACAAAUAAAUGCAUGGACAUUA